UACAGAGGUCCCGAGCGUUGUUCGGAUUCACUGGGCGUAAAGGGCUCGUAGGUGGCCAACUAAGUCAGACGUGAAAUCCCUCGGCUUAACCGGGGAACUGCGUCUGAUACUGGAUGGCUUGAGUUUGGGAGAGGAAUGCGGAAUUCCAGGUGUAGCGGUGAAAUGCGUAGAUAUCUGGAGGAACACCGGUGGCGAAGGCGGCAUUCUGGACCAAUACUGACGCUGAGGAGCGAAAGCCAGGGGAGCAAACGGG
rnacentral:rRNA from 1 species